rnacentral:rRNA from 1 species
AUUGAACGCUGGCGGCAUGCCUUACACAUGCAAGUCGAACGGCAGCACGGGUGCUUGCACCUGGUGGCGAGUGGCGAACGGGUGAGUAAUACAUCGGAACAUGUCCUGUAGUGGGGGAUAGCCCGGCGAAAGCCGGAUUAAUACCGCAUACGAUCUACGGAUGAAAGCGGGGGACCUUCGGGCCUCGCGCUAUAGGGUUGGCCGAUGGCUGAUUAGCUAGUUGGUGGGGUAAAGGCCUACCAAGGCGACGAUCAGUAGCUGGUCUGAGAGGACGACCAGCCACACUGGGACUGAGACACGGCCCAGACUCCUACGGGAGGCAGCAGUGGGGAAUUUUGGACAAUGGGCGAAAGCCUGAUCCAGCAAUGCCGCGUGUGUGAAGAAGGCCUUCGGGUUGUAAAGCACUUUUGUCCGGAAAGAAAUCCUUGGUUCUAAUAUAGCCGGGGGAUGACGGUACCGGAAGAAUAAGCACCGGCUAACUACGUGCCAGCAGCCGCGGUAAUACGUAGGGUGCGAGCGUUAAUCGGAAUUACUGGGCGUAAAGCGUGCGCAGGCGGUUUGCUAAGACCGAUGUGAAAUCCCCGGGCUCAACCUGGGAACUGCAUUGGUGACUGGCAGGCUAGAGUAUGGCAGAGGGGGGUAGAAUUCCACGUGUAGCAGUGAAAUGCGUAGAGAUGUGGAGGAAUACCGAUGGCGAAGGCAGCCCCCUGGGCCAAUACUGACGCUCAUGCACGAAAGCGUGGG